GACGAACCGUGCGAACGUUGUUCGGAUUCACUGGGCUUAAAGGGCGCGUAGGCGGGCUCUCAAGUCGGGGGUGAAAUCCCACCGCUUAACGGUGGAAGUGCCUCCGAUACUGGGAGUCUGGAGGGAGGUAGGGGUGUGUGGAACUUCCGGUGGAGCGGUGAAAUGCGUAGAUAUCGGAAGGAACGCCGGUGGCGAAAGCGACGCACUGGACCUCUUCUGACGCUGAAGCGCGAAAGCCAGGGGAGCAAACGGG
rnacentral:rRNA from 1 species